rnacentral:rRNA from 1 species
AUUGAACGCUGGCGGCAUGCCUUACACAUGCAAGUCGAACGGCAGCACGGGGGCAACCCUGGUGGCGAGUGGCGCACGGGUGAGUAAUGCAUCGGAACGUGUCCUCUUGUGGGGGAUAACCAGUCGAAAGACUGGCUAAUACCGCAUGAGCUCGAGAGAGGAAAGCGGGGGACCGCAAGGCCUCGCGCGAGAGGAGCGGCCGAUGCCGGAUUAGCUAGUUGGCGGGGUAACGGCCCACCAAGGCGACGAUCCGUAGCUGGGCUGAGAGGACGACCAGCCACACUGGGACUGAGACACGGCCCAGACUCCUACGGGAGGCAGCAGUGGGGAAUUUUGGACAAUGGGCGCAAGCCUGAUCCAGCCAUGCCGCGUGUGUGAAGAAGGCCUUCGGGUUGUAAAGCACUUUCGGGCGGAACGAAAUCGCGCGGGUGAACAAUCCGCGUGGAUGACGGUACCGCAAGAAGAAGCACCGGCUAACUACGUGCCAGCCGCCGCGGUAAUAC